rnacentral:pre_miRNA from 1 species
GCUGCUGUAGGGUAGGAGGAGAGAGGUGUUGUUACCUUAUCAGCUGCCUUCUCUCCCGUCCCCUCCUGCAGAAGCAGC